CGGUACUUUGACCGUGCGAAGGUAGCAUAAUAAUUAGUUUUUUAAUUGAAAGCUGGAAUGAAUGGUCGAACGAGAAAAAUACUGUCUCAAGUUAAUUUUAAUUAGAAUUUUAUCUUUAAGUAAAAAAGCUUAAAUAAUUUUAAAAGACGAGAAGACCCUAUAGAGUUUUAUAAAUUUUAUUAUUUGAGGUAUUUAGAAUUUUAUAGCUUAAAAUAGUAAUAUUUAUUUUGUUGGGGUGACAGAAAAAUUUAUUAAACUUUUUUUUAUAUAAAAACAUUAAUUUAUGAAUUAUUGAUCCAUUAAUUAUGAUUAUAAGAUUAAAUUACCUUAGGGAUAACAGCGUAAUUUUUUUUGAGAGUUCAAAUCGAAAAAGAAGUUUGCGACCUCGAUGUUGGAUUAAAAUUAAGUUUUGGUGUAGCAGCUAAAA
rnacentral:rRNA from 1 species